CGAACGGGUGAGUAAUAUAUCGGAACGUGCCCAGUCGUGGGGGAUAACGCAGCGAAAGCUGUGCUAAUACCGCAUACGAUCUAUGGAUGAAAGCGGGGGACUCGCAAGGGCCUCGCGCGAUUGGAGCGGCCGAUAUCAGAUUAGGUAGUUGGUGGGGUAAAGGCUCACCAAGCCGACGAUCUGUAGCUGGUCUGAGAGGACGACCAGCCACACUGGAACUGAGACACGGUCCAGACUCCUACGGGAGGCAGCAGUGGGGAAUUUUGGACAAUGGGCGCAAGCCUGAUCCAGCAAUGCCGCGUGCAGGAUGAAGGCCUUCGGGUUGUAAACUGCUUUUGUACGGAACGAAAAGGCUCUGGUUAAUACCUGGGGCCCAUGACGGUACCGUAAGAAUAAGCACCGGCUAACUACGUGCCAGCAGCCGCGGUAAUACGUAGGGUGCGAGCGUUAAUCGGAAUUACUGGGCGUAAAGCGUGCGCAGGCGGUAAUGCAAGACAGAUGUGAAAUCCCCGGGCUUAACCUGGGAACUGCAUUUGUGACUGCAUUGCUGGAGUGCGGCAGAGGGGGAUGGAAUUCCGCGUGUAGCAGUGAAAUGCGUAGAUAUGCGGAGGAACACCGAUGGC
rnacentral:rRNA from 1 species